GACGAACGCUGGCGGCGUGCUUAACACAUGCAGGUCGAACGGAAAGGCCCUUCGGGGUACUCGAGUGGCGAACGGGUGAGUAACACGUGGGUGAUCUGCCCCGCACUUUGGGAUAAGCCUGGGAAACUGGGUCUAAUACCGAAUAGGACCACGCGCUUCAUGGUGUGUGGUGGAAAGCUUUUGCGGUGUGGGAUGGGCCCGCGGCCUAUCAGCUUGUUGGUGGGGUAAUGGCCUACCAAGGCGACGACGGGUAGCCGGCCUGAGAGGGUGACCGGCCACACUGGGACUGAGAUACGGCCCAGACUCCUACGGGAGGCAGCAGUGGGGAAUAUUGCACAAUGGGCGCAAGCCUGAUGCAGCGACGCCGCGUGAGGGAUGACGGCCUUCGGGUUGUAAACCUCUUUCAAUAGGGACGAAGCGCAAGUGACGGUACCUAUAGAAGAAGCACCGGCCAACUACGUGCCAGCAGCCGCGGUAAUACGUACGGUGCGAGCGUUGUCCGGAAUUACUGGGCGUAAAGAGCUCGUAGGUGGUUUGUCGCGUUGUUCGUGAAAACUCACAGCUUAACUGUGGGCGUGCGGGCGAUACGGGCAGACUAGAGUACUGCAGGGGAGACUGGAAUUCCUGGUGUAGCGGUGGAAUGCGCAGAUAUCAGGAGGAACACCGGUGGCGAAGGCGGGUCUCUGGGCAGUAACUGACGCUGAGGAGCGAAAGCGUGGGGAGCGAACAGGAUUAGAUACCCUGGUAGUCCACGCCGUAAACGGUGGGUACUAGGUGUGGGUUCCUUCCUUGGGAUCCGUGCCGUAGCUAACGCAUUAAGUACCCCGCCUGGGGAGUACGGCCGCAAGGCUAAAACUCAAAGGAAUUGACGGGGGCCCGCACAAGCGGCGGAGCAUGUGGAUUAAUUCGAUGCAACGCGAAGAACCUUACCUGGGUUUGACAUGCACAGGACGCCGGCAGAGAUGUCGGUUCCCUUGUGGCCUGUGUGCAGGUGGUGCAUGGCUGUCGUCAGCUCGUGUCGUGAGAUGUUGGGUUAAGUCCCGCAACGAGCGCAACCCUUGUCCUAUGUUGCCAGCGGGUUAUGCCGGGGACUCGUAGGAGACUGCCGGGGUCAACUCGGAGGAAGGUGGGGAUGACGUCAAGUCAUCAUGCCCCUUAUGUCCAGGGCUCCACACAUGCUACAAUGGCCGGUACAAAGGGCUGCGAUGCCGUGAGGUGGAGCGAAUCCUUUCAAAGCCGGUCUCAGUUCGGAUCGGGGUCUGCAACUCGACCCCGUGAAGUCGGAGUCGCUAGUAAUCGCAGAUCAGCAACGCUGCGGUGAAUACGUUCCCGGGCCU
rnacentral:rRNA from 1 species